rnacentral:rRNA from 1 species
GACGAACGCUGGCGGCGUGCCUAAUACAUGCAAGUCGAACGAACCGCGACUAGGUGCUUGCACUUGGUCAAGGUGAGUGGCGAACGGGUGAGUAACACGUGGGUAACCUACCUCAUAGUGGGGGAUAACAGUCGGAAACGACUGCUAAUACCGCAUAGGACAUGGGAUCACAUGAUUCUGUGAGGAAAGGUGGCGCAAGCUAUCGCUAAGAGAUGGACCCGCGGUGCAUUAGCUAGUUGGUAGGGUAACGGCCUACCAAGGCGAUGAUGCAUAGCCGACCUGAGAGGGUGAUCGGCCACAUUGGGACUGAGACACGGACCAAACUCCUACGGGAGGCAGCAGUAGGGAAUCUUCCGCAAUGGACGCAAGUCUGACGGAGCAACGCCGCGUGAGUGAAGAAGGUCUUCGGAUCGUAAAGCUCUGUUGUUAGAGAAGAACAGCGCAUAGAGUAACUGUUAUGCGUGUGACGGUAUCUAACCAGAAAGCCACGGCUAACUACGUG